GGGGGAUUGGCGCAAUGGUAGCGCGUUAGUUUUCGGUUCUUCUGAAAUACACUAAAGGUUGUGGGUUCGAGCCCCAUGUCCCUCG
rnacentral:tRNA from 1 species